GCGCACACACACGCACGAUCACGCAAACACGUAAAAAGGAAACCAACGAAACCCACGCACUUCUUAUCCCUUGGCAACGAAGCUCCUGAAGCCACGGGGAGACCACACGAGGAGGACCUUCUCCUGCAAUCCCUGGAUCCUACACGCUGUAUCCCACGACGCAGCGAAUGCACCAUCUCCCUUCAUCAUCUCUCCUGCCGAUGCUGAUGCUGGGAUGCCUCCUGUUCCUCCUUCGUCAGCAACUCCUUCAGCAUCCUCGAGACGUAGCGGAGGCCGAGCGGAGGUCCUGCAUCGGCGGAGACUGCGGCUGGACUCUCAAGUGGUCCGCUCCAGGGCGGGGGUCAGUGCUCCCCAACCCCCCCUACCGUCCUGCCUUCAGAACUAUUCCCAACAAUAAUCUUCAACAAAGCUAAGAAAACCCGCUCUAAUGGUAACACAUAUGAACAAUGUUCAUGAACGUUCCGAUUAAGCGCUGAGUAGGUGUGUGUGUCAUGAGUGAUGCCCACGGACGACCUUCAAUGUCAUGAGGCGCUUCUGACGACUAUGGUUCAUGAACUUUCUUCUC